CACGUAGGGCGCAAGCGUUGUCCGGAAUUAUUGGGCGUAAAGAGCUCGUAGGCGGUCUGUUGCGUCCGCUGUGAAAACUCGGGGCUUAACCCCGAACCUGCAGUGGAUACGGGCAGACUAGAGGUAGGUAGGGGAGAAUGGAAUUCCCGGUGUAGCGGUGAAAUGCGUAGAGAUGCGGAGGAACACCGAUGGCGAAGGCAGCCCCCUGGGCUAACACUGACGCUCAGGCACGAAAGCGUGGGGAGCAAACAGG
rnacentral:rRNA from 1 species